CCCGUUUCUGUAUGUAUGUGUGUCACGCUGUUGUGACCGUUAUAAUGGGCAUCUCAGGACGCUAAGGUGCCAAAAAAUGCCUAUUCUAACGUUCAUAAUAGCGUGGUAUAUGGAAAGCACCAGACUAACA
rnacentral:precursor_RNA from 14 species